rnacentral:ncRNA from 2 species
GCAUAAUACAGGUCCGUCGGUGCCCGUUGGGGCCUAAGAGGGAACACAGAGAAACUGUGGCUGCCCCCGCAAUUGUACGCAGCGAGUCCGCGCUCCACUGCCACUGGUUUUUACCGGGAAGGCCGGCGCGAACGAAGACCUGCCAGCCAAGAGACCUGCCGACUCACCGCAUUCGAG